GGGGGAUCUUCGGACCUUCUGCUAUCGGGGGAGCCUGCGUCGGAUUAGCUAGUUGGUGGGGUAAUGGCUCACCAAGGCGACGAUCCCUAGCUGGUCUGAGAGGAUGAUCAGCCACACCGGAACUGAGACACGGUCCGGACUCCUACGGGAGGCAGCAGUGGGGAAUAUUGCGCAAUGGGCGAAAGCCUGACGCAGCCAUGCCGCGUGUGUGAAGAAGGCCUUCGGGUUGUAAAGCACUUUCAGUGGGGAGGAAAGGGCGUUGGCUAAUAUCCAGCGCAGUUGACGCUACCCACAGAAGAAGCACCGGCUAAUUCCGUGCCAGCAGCCGCGGUAAUACGGAAGGUGCGAGCGUUAAUCGGAAUUACUGGGCGUAAAGCGCGCGUAGGCGGCUUGGUAAGUCGGAUGUGAAAGCCCCGGGCUCAACCUGGGAACUGCAUUCGAUACUGCUGAGCUGGAGUACGAGAGAGGGGGGUGGAAUUCCAGGUGUAGCGGUGAAAUGCGUAGAGAUCUGGAGGAACAUCGGUGGCGAA
rnacentral:rRNA from 1 species